rfam:Equus caballus chromosome X, whole genome shotgun sequence.
CCGUGUGCUGUGUCCUACCCAGAAAGGUACUGAUAACUUAGACUACAUGUAGUCAGUGUCUUUCUGGGUAGAGUAAUGCUCAGCAA